AUGGGUGUGUGCUCGCAUGUGUGCAUGGGUGUGUGUGUGUGCGCGCGUGCGUGCAUGCGUGGGUGUGUGUGUGCAAUCCGGCUCUAAAAGGCUCACAGAAGUGACUGUCUUCUUGAGGAUGCGGUGCCGCUGUUUUAAAUGUCUGCCAGCCCCUUCGCAGCUCGGGGUGAGCACGUGCCCAGGGAUGGGCAGUGACAUGUAAGAGGAAGUCUACAGGAACUUCUGGGAAAGCUGAUGCUCUUCUGAUAAAAGAGACGGCCAUGGGUCCCAGCUUCUUCCUGCCUUGAUUGGGGAUGUGAUGCCUGGAGCCACGGCAGCCCUCUCGCUACAAAGAGAAAAAGGCCAAGAGAAUCUCAAAGACAUUGACCUUAUCAUCAUUGGACCAAGCCAAUGCCUGCAACCUUCCUCCUACAGAACUCUUGUAAAUAGAAAUAAAGCCCUCUUUGGUUAAGCCAUC